rnacentral:rRNA from 1 species
UACGUAGGGUGCAAGCGUUGUCCGGAAUUAUUGGGCGUAAAGAGCUUGUAGGCGGUUUGUCGCGUCUGCUGUGAAAUUUCGGGGCUCCAACCCCGAACUUGCAGUGGGUACGGGGCAGACUAGAGUGUGGUAGGGGGAGACUGGAAUUCCUGGUGUAGCGGUGAAAUGCGCAGAUAUCAGGAGGAACACCGAUGGCGAAGGCAGGUCUCUGGGCCAUAACUGACGCUGAGAAGCGAAAGCAUGGGGAGCGAACAGG